rnacentral:rRNA from 1 species
CAUGCAGUCGACGAUGACCCCCAGCUUGCUGGGGUGAUUAGUGGCGAACGGGUGAGUAACACGUGAGUAACCUGCCCCUGACUCUGGGAUAAGCCCGGGAAACUGGGUCUAAUACUGGAUAUGCACCGUGGACCGCAUGGUCCUUGGUGGAAAGAUUUUUUGGUCAGGGAUGGACUCGCGGCCUAUCAGCUUGUUGGUGAGGUAAUGGCUCACCAAGGCGACGACGGGUAGCCGGCCUGAGAGGGUGACCGGCCACACUGGGACUGAGACACGGCCCAGACUCCUACGGGAGGCAGCAGUGGGGAAUAUUGCACAAUGGGCGAAAGCCUGAUGCAGCGACGCCGCGUGAGGGAUGACGGCCUUCGGGUUGUAAACCUCUUUCAGUAGGGAAGAAGCGAAAGUGACGGUACCUGCAGAAGAAGCGCCGGCUAACUACGUGCCAGCAGCCGCGGUAAUACGUAGGGCGCAAGCGUUAUCCGGAAUUAUUGGGCGUAAAGAGCUCGUAGGCGGUUUGUCGCGUCUGCCGUGAAAGUCCGAGGCUCAACCUCGGAUCUGCGGUGGGUACGGGCAGACUAGAGUGAUGUAGGGGAGACUGGAAUUCCUGGUGUAGCGGUGAAAUGCGCAGAUAUCAGAGGAACACCGAUGGCGAAGGCAGGUCUCUGGGCAUUAACUGACGCUGAGGAGCGAAAGCAUGGGGAGCGAACAGGAUU